AAAGUUGAUGAUGAUGAUCUAAUUUCUUAUAUCAUUGCUGGUCUCGAUGAAACUUUUGAGCCAGUGGUGUCCUCCAUCGUUGGAAAAACGGAGCCAAUGACCGUGGGAGAGGCGUACUCCCAGCUGCUCAGCUUUGAGC
rfam:Oryza glaberrima chromosome 6 Oglab06_0084_1, whole genome shotgun sequence.